rnacentral:rRNA from 1 species
UGCGUGGACCACGUAUGGUUGAGUGUCGUA